rnacentral:rRNA from 1 species
GGUUAAGCGAAUAAGCGUACACGGUGGAUGCCUAGGCAAUCAGAGGCGAUGAAGGACGUGCUAAUCUGCGAUAAGCGUCGGUAAGGUGAUAUGAACCGUUAUACCCGACGAUUUCCGAAUGGGGAAACCCAAUAUCCAAUGGAUAUUAUCAUGACGUGAAUACAUAGCGUCAUGAAGCGAACCGGGAGAACUGAAACAUCUCAGUACCCCGAGGAAAAGAAAUCAACCGAGAUUCCCCUAGUAGCGGCGAGCGAACGGGGAACAGCCCAGAGUCUUAAUCAAUAGCAGCAUCAGGAGAACGGUCUGGAAAGUCCGGCAGUAAAGGGUGAUAGCCCCGUAUCUGAAGAUGCUGUUAUUGUGAACUCGACGAGUAGGGCGGGACACGUGUUAUCCUGUCUGAAUAUGGGGGGACCAUCCUCCAAGGCUAAAUACUCCUGAUUGACCGAUAGUGAACCAGUACCGUGAGGGAAAGGCGAAAAGAACCCCGGCGAGGGGAGUGAAAAAGAACCUGAAACCGUGUACGUACAAGCAGUAGGAGCC